rnacentral:rRNA from 1 species
CAAUUUAAACAACGAAGAGUUUGAUCCUGGCUCAGGAUGAACGCUAGCGACAGGCUUAACACAUGCAAGUCGAGGGGCAGCACAGGUAGCAAUACCGGGUGGCGACCGGCGCACGGGUGAGUAACGCGUAUGCAACUUGCCUAUCAGAGGGGGAUAACCCGGCGAAAGUCGGACUAAUACCGCAUGAAGCAGGGAUCCCGCAUGGGGAUAUUUGCUAAAGAUUCAUCGCUGAUAGAUAGGCAUGCGUUCCAUUAGGCAGUUGGCGGGGUAACGGCCCACCAAACCGACGAUGGAUAGGGGUUCUGAGAGGAAGGUCCCCCACAUUGGUACUGAGACACGGACCAAACUCCUACGGGAGGCAGCAGUGAGGAAUAUUGGUCAAUGGCCGAGAGGCUGAACCAGCCAAGUCGCGUGAGGGAUGAAGGUUCUAUGGAUCGUAAACCUCUUUUAUAAGGGAAUAAAGUGCGGGACGUGUCCCGUUUUGUAUGUACCUUAUGAAUAAGGAUCGGCUAACUCCGUGCCAGCAGCCGCGGUAAUACGGAGGAUCCGAGCGUUAUCCGGAUUUAUUGGGUUUAAAGGGUGCGUAGGCGGCCUUUUAAGUCAGCGGUGAAAGUCUGUGGCUCAACCAUAGAAUUGCCGUUGAAACUGGGGGGCUUGAGUAUGUUUGAGGCAGGCGGAAUGCGUGGUGUAGCGGUGAAAUGCUUAGAUAUCACGCAGAACCCCGAUUGCGAAGGCAGCCUGCCAAGCCAUGACUGACGCUGAUGCACGAAAGCGUGGGGAUCAAACAGGAUUAGAUACCCUGGUAGUCCACGCAGUAAACGAUGAUCACUAGCUGUUUGCGAUACACUGUAAGCGGCACAGCGAAAGCGUUAAGUGAUCCACCUGGGGAGUACGCCGGCAACGGUGAAACUCAAAGGAAUUGACGGGGGCCCGCACAAGCGGAGGAACAUGUGGUUUAAUUCGAUGAUACGCGAGGAACCUUACCCGGGUUUGAACGCAUUCGGACCGAGGUGGAAACACCUUUUCUAGCAAUAGCCGUUUGCGAGGUGCUGCAUGGUUGUCGUCAGCUCGUGCCGUGAGGUGUCGGCUUAAGUGCCAUAACGAGCGCAACCCUUGCCACUAGUUACUAACAGGUGAUGCUGAGGACUCUGGUGGGACUGCCAGCGUAAGCUGCGAGGAAGGCGGGGAUGACGUCAAAUCAGCACGGCCCUUACAUCCGGGGCGACACACGUGUUACAAUGGCGUGGACAAAGGGAGGCCACCUGGCGACAGGGAGCGAAUCCCCAAACCACGUCUCAGUUCGGAUCGGAGUCUGCAACCCGACUCCGUGAAGCUGGAUUCGCUAGUAAUCGCGCAUCAGCCAUGGCGCGGUGAAUACGUUCCCGGGCCUUGUACACACCGCCCGUCAAGCCAUGGGAGCCGGGGGUACCUGAAGUCCGUAACCGCGAGGAUCGGCCUAGGGUAAAACUGGUGACUGGGGCUAAGUCGUAACAAGGUAGCCGUACCGGAAGGUGCGGCUGGAACACCUCCUUUCUGGA